AAAAGAACAGUGGGUUGCAAAAGCAUCACAUAACAUAGAUGUCCACAUAACCCAAUAUGGUUCAAAAGUGUACAUACUACCAGGGUUCAAAAGCAUAGUACCACGGUUCACAUAACUCAUUACACACAUCACAUAAGCCACAUUGUUCACACAACUGAUUACAUAUUGCACUUAUGUGUUUCCACUGGUAGUAAAAUAAGCCAUCCAUUCAGAAUGGUUUGUUGGGCCACCAGCAGUAGGAGGAGCACCAGAAGUUGAAUCACCAGCAGUUGAAGUACCAGAAGUUGAAGCUCUUGGGGCAGAAAAUGGUCUUUGAUAGCUUGCAGCAACAGAACUUCCACCCCUAGCAGAUCUUGCAGCUGGCUAUGAUCUUGCAGCUCGCUGUGAUCUUGCACCUCGUUGUGAUCUUGCAGUUGGUUUUGAUCUUGCAGCUGGUUGUGAACUAGCAGCUCGAGUUUGAGGUAGGGGUUGUGAACUUGCGGCUAGGGGUUGUGAUCUUGCAAGUGCCUUGCAAACAUCAUAGUAGUUAGUCACCCAUCAUAUUUACUAAAAAUACAUAAAUACAAAAAAUUAAACUAGAGAGUGUAAGGGGAUUACCACGUGCUUAUUUUUCGUCAUAGCCAACUUUG
rnacentral:lncRNA from 1 species